rnacentral:antisense_RNA from 1 species
UUCUCCUGUAUGAUCAUAAUUUCUUAAAUUUUUUACCCAGG